rnacentral:rRNA from 1 species
AUGGGUUCGGGUUCAACCACCGUCAGGCUCAUGGCCUUCGCCUCCGCUCUCGUGCUGCUGACGCACUGCACUCACGCGGCAGCGGCACCAAGCUUUCAGCAGAAACAGGCUGCGGCCAAGACGUGGUGCGUGGCCAAGCCAUCGACGGGCGAGGCGGCGCUGAGGGCCAACCUGGAGUUCGCCUGCUCCGAGAGCGACUGUAGCGCGAUCCAGGGCACGGGGGGCUGCUCCGCGCAGAACGGCGGCGUGCUGCUGUCGCGGGCCUCGGUGGCCAUGAACGCCUACUACCAGGCCAGGGGGAGGAACACCUGGAACUGCUUCUUCAACGCCACCGGCAUCAUCAGCAUCACCGACCCCAGUCUAGGCACUUGCAAGUAUGCCUGA